rnacentral:rRNA from 1 species
UACGGAGGGGGCGAGCGUUGUUCGGAAUUAUUGGGCGUAAAGGGCGCGUAGGCGGCCGGCCAAGUCGGGUGUGAAAUCCCUCGGCUCAACCGAGGAACUGCACUCGAUACUGGCUGGCUUGAGUCCGGGAGGGGAUGGUGGAAUUCCCAGUGUAGCGGUGAAAUGCGUAGAUAUUGGGAAGAACACCGGUGGCGAAGGCGGCUCACUGGCCCGAUACUGACGCUGAGGCACGAAAGCGUGGGGAGCGAACAGG